rnacentral:rRNA from 1 species
GACGAACGCUGGCGGCGUGCUUAACACAUGCAAGUGGAGCGACGAACCAGGGCUUGCCCUGGGGCAGAGCCGCGAACGGGUGAGUAACACGCGGGUAACGUGCCCCGAUGACUGGGACAACCCGGGGAAACCCGGGCUAAUACCGGAUGUGCCCCCUCACAUCAGUGAGGUGUGUAAAGGAAGCUUCGGCCUCCGCAUCGGGAUCGGCCCGCGGCCCAUUAGCUUGUUGGUGAGGUAACGGCUCACCAAGGCUGCGAUGGGUAGCUGGUCUGAGAGGACGAUCAGCCACACUGGGACUGAGACACGGCCCAGACUCCUACGGGAGGCAGCAGUGGGGAAUCUUGCGCAAUGCGCGAAAGCGUGACGCAGCAACGCCGCGUGGGGGAAGACGGCCUUCGGGUUGUAAACCCCUUUCAGUUGGGACGAAGGUCGGGCGGUUAACAGCCGUUCCGGCUGACGGUACCUUCACAAGAAGCCCCGGCUAACUACGUG